rnacentral:rRNA from 1 species
AUGAAGAGGCACCCGGAAGCGGCGGAGGUCGUCGUGCCGGCGCCGAUCAAGAAGGGGUGCGCUACGUUCUUGGUGGGCGCGGAGGAGGACGGGGCGCCGAGGCGGUUCGCGGUGCCGGUGGAGCUGCUCGGGCACCCGCGGAUCCUGGAGCUGCUCGGGGAGGCGGAAGAGAACUACGGCUACGCUUACGAGGGCGCCAUCGUCCUGCCCUGUGGCGUCGAGCGGUUCCAGAAGGCCGUCAACGCUGCGAGGGCCCAAGAACGGCACCGUCAUCAGCACCACCAUCAUCAUCACUUCAGCCUUCCUCAGCUUGUCGGGUGCUUUAGGCCGUCGCAUGUUGUUGUUUAG